GAGUUUGAUCCUGCGCUCAGGAUGAACGCUAGCUACAGGCUUAACACAUGCAAGUCGAGGGGAAACGACAUCGAAAGCUUGCUUUUGAUGGGCGUCGACCGGCGCACGGGUGAGUAACGCGUAUCCAACCUGCCCACCACUUGGGGAUAACCUUGCGAAAGUAAGACUAAUACCCAAUGAUAUCUCUAGAAGACAUCUGAAAGGGAUUAAAGAUUUAUCGGUGAUGGAUGGGGAUGCGUCUGAUUAGCUUGUUGGCGGGGUAACGGCCCACCAAGGCUACGAUCAGUAGGGGUUCUGAGAGGAAGGUCCCCCACAUUGGAACUGAGACACGGUCCAAACUCCUACGGGAGGCAGCAGUGAGGAAUAUUGGUCAAUGGACGAGAGUCUGAACCAGCCAAGUAGCGUGCAGGAUGACGGCCCUAUGGGUUGUAAACUGCUUUUAUAAGGGAAUAAAGUGAGCCUCGUGAGGCUUUUUGCAUGUACCUUAUGAAUAAGGACCGGCUAAUUCCGUGCCAGCAGCCGCGGUAAUACGGAAGGUCCGGGCGUUAUCCGGAUUUAUUGGGUUUAAAGGGAGCGUAGGCCGGAGAUUAAGCGUGUUGUGAAAUGUAGACGCUCAACGUCUGCACUGCAGCGCGAACUGGUUUCCUUGAGUACGCACAAAGUGGGCGGAAUUCGUGGUGUAGCGGUGAAAUGCUUAGAUAUCACGAAGAACUCCGAUUGCGAAGGCAGCUCACUGGAGCGCAACUGACGCUGAAGCUCGAAAGUGCGGGUAUCGAACAGGAUUAGAUACCCUGGUAGUCCGCACGGUAAACGAUGGAUGCCCGCUGUUGGUCUGAAUAGGUCAGCGGCC
rnacentral:rRNA from 1 species